rnacentral:rRNA from 1 species
GACGAACGCUGGCGGCGUGCCUAAUACAUGCAAGUAGAACGCUGAAGAGAGGAGCUUGCUCUUCUUGGAUGAGUUGCGAACGGGUGAGUAACGCGUAGGUAACCUGCCUUGUAGCGGGGGAUAACUAUUGGAAACGAUAGCUAAUACCGCAUAACAAUGGAUGACACAUGUCAUUUAUUUGAAAGGGGCAAUUGCUCCACUACAAGAUGGACCUGCGUUGUAUUAGCUAGUAGGUGAGGUAAUGGCUCACCUAGGCGACGAUACAUAGCCGACCUGAGAGGGUGAUCGGCCACACUGGGACUGAGACACGGCCCAGACUCCUACGGGAGGCAGCAGUAGGGAAUCUUCGGCAAUGGGGGCAACCCUGACCGAGCAACGCCGCGUGAGUGAAGAAGGUUUUCGGAUCGUAAAGCUCUGUUGUAAGUCAAGAACGGGUGUGAGAGUGGAAAGUUCACACUGUGACGGUAGCUUACCAGAAAGGGACGGCUAACUACGUGCCAGCAGCCGCGGUAAUACGUAGGUCCCGAGCGUUGUCCGGAUUUAUUGGGCGUAAAGCGAGCGCAGGCGGUUUGAUAAGUCUGAAGUUAAAGGCUGUGGCUCAACCAUAGUUCGCUUUGGAAACUGUCAAACUUGAGUGCAGAAGGGGAGAGUGGAAUUCCAUGUGUAGCGGUGAAAUGCGUAGAUAUAUGGAGGAACACCGGUGGCGAAAGCGGCUCUCUGGUCUGUAACUGACGCUGAGGCUCGAAAGCGUGGGGAGCGAACAGG